UUGACUUCGAGAGCAUCUUCGUCAACAUUUCUAUUUUGAAGGAUCUCGAUGACUCCUUCGUCUAACAUCUCUUGAACAUCUCUGCGCACCUGGCGACAUCCUCUCUGAUUAACAUAACAGACUCUGCAUCUAUCAUGGUCAUGCUCAUAAUGGCUAUAAUCACACAGCAAGCGAUGCAUCUCAACCAGCGAUUGUCGGAUAUGACUAACGU
rnacentral:lncRNA from 1 species